UACGAAGGGGGGCUAGCGUUGCUCGGAAUCACUGGGCGUAAAGCGCACGUAGGCGGACUCUUAAGUCGGUGGUGAAAUCCUGGAGCUCAACUCCAGAACUGCCUUCGAUACUGAGAGUCUCGAGUCCGGGAGAGGUGAGUGGAACUGCGAGUGUAGAGGUGAAAUUCGUAGAUAUUCGCAAGAACACCAGUGGCGAAGGCGGCUCACUGGCCCGGUACUGACGCUGAGGUGCGAAAGCGUGGGGGAGCAAACAGG
rnacentral:rRNA from 1 species